UCGAUUCCUUAGCUAAAAGGUAAUUCUCAAAAUGUACAGGUGUAGGAUAAAGAGUGAGAAGAUAUAGAUAGGGAAAUAGAAAUCAUGCAGCUAGGAGUGAUUUUAGAAACUCUUUGUCCAAGCCAGACCCCUGUUUUAUUUACCAUGUAUUUUGACACAUGCCACAAAGUAAGGACACAGUCAGUAUUGAAUAACUAUUUGUUGACCAAAUCUGCCUUUUGCAAUAGAGAAUCACCUUUCCAUCUCGGUUGUUGUGUUUCUCACAUAGACAACAUUCAUUCAUUCAUUCUUUGAACAGCUGUUUUUAUAGUGCUAAAUGCUAGCUCUGAGCAUCACUCGUGCCUGGCCUAACUGACUUCCUGCCUCUUAAGAGCCUCCAGAUACUUCCAAACCAGGGAACCCAAACAGGAAAAAUAUUAAAAGAAAACAUAAGAGAUAGGUAUUGAUUGUUCCAGUGUGACCAGCCUGGAAAGCAACAAGAAGAUGACAUUUGUAAGAAAGGAGUGCCUGAGGGUGAGCAAAGAGCUCUGUAUAAAAAAGUUGAAAGUUUCGCAUAAGGAAUAAAAGUAAGAAGAAACAAAAUAAGCCAAUAUCCAAGAAGUUACUUGCAAGUGUCUAAAUGAGGAGUUUAUGCACAUUUGAAAUCCAAAUGAGUGAUCUGAAGAAAAGCAAGAAAGCUUACAUUUAACCCAGUUUUGUCACAGAAGAAAGACUAUAAAAUCAGGAAUAGGUUUGGUUCAGUUCAAAAAAUUAGAUACUACUUCCCUAGCAAAUAGGCCCCUACUUGGGAGAUAAAUGCACAAUAAGCAUUGUAACUGUCCAAGUAGCUUUUGAUUUACUUAUCCAUACAAAACUUUUUGAAUGUGAUUAACAAAAUAUUUAGAAUCUGAGUGCCAGCACUGUACUAGACUCUGGAUAUAAGUGAACAAAACAGAUGGAAUCCCUGCUGUCACAGAACUUCAGAAGAAUCAUUUUGCACCUACUUGGACAACUAUAAUCAAAGAGA
rnacentral:lncRNA from 1 species